rnacentral:rRNA from 1 species
UACGGGGGGAGCAAGCGUUGUUCGGAUUUACUGGGCGUAAAGGGCGCGUAGGCGGCGUAACAAGUCACUUGUGAAAUCUCCGGGCUUAACCCGGAGCGGCCAAGUGAUACUGUUGUGCUAGAGUGCGGAAGGGGCUACUGGAAUUCUCGGUGUAGCGGUGAAAUGCGUAGAUAUCGAGAGGAACACCUGCGGCGAAGGCGGCGACCUGGACAGUUACUGACACUCAACUACGAAAGCGUGGGGAGCAAACAGG